rnacentral:rRNA from 1 species
GACGAACGCUGGCGGCGUGCUUAACACAUGCAAGUCGAACGGAAAGGCCCUGCUUUUGUGGGGUGCUCGAGUGGCGAACGGGUGAGUAACACGUGAGUAACCUGCCCUUGACUUUGGGAUAACUUCAGGAAACUGGGGCUAAUACCGGAUAGGAGCUCCUGCUGCAUGGUGGGGGUUGGAAAGUUUCGGCGGUUGGGGAUGGACUCGCGGCUUAUCAGCUUGUUGGUGGGGUAGUGGCCUACCAAGGCUUUGACGGGUAGCCGGCCUGAGAGGGUGACCGGCCACAUUGGGACUGAGAUACGGCCCAGACUCCUACGGGAGGCAGCAGUGGGGAAUAUUGCACAAUGGGCGGAAGCCUGAUGCAGCAACGCCGCGUGCGGGAUGACGGCCUUCGGGUUGUAAACCGCUUUCGCCUGUGACGAAGCGUGAGUGACGGUAAUGGGUAAAGAAGCACCGGCUAACUACGUGCCAGCAGCCGCGGUGAUACGUAGGGUGCGAGCGUUGUCCGGAUUUAUUGGGCGUAAAGGGCUCGUAGGUGGUUGAUCGCGUCGGAAGUGUAAUCUUGGGGCUUAACCCUGAGCGUGCUUUCGAUACGGGUUGACUUGAGGAAGGUAGGGGAGAAUGGAAUUCCUGGUGGAGCGGUGGAAUGCGCAGAUAUCAGGAGGAACACCAGUGGCGAAGGCGGUUCUCUGGGCCUUUCCUGACGCUGAGGAGCGAAAGCGUGGGGAGCGAACAGGCUUAGAUACCCUGGUAGUCCACGCUGUAAACGGUGGGUACUAGGUGUGGGGUCCAUUCCACGGGUUCCGUGCCGUAGCUAACGCUUUAAGUACCCCGCCUGGGGAGUACGGCCGCAAGGCUAAAACUCAAAGGAAUUGACGGGGCCCCGCACAAGCGGCGGAGCAUGCGGAUUAAUUCGAUGCAACGCGUAGAACCUUACCUGGGUUUGACAUGGAUCGGGAGUGCUCAGAGAUGGGUGUGCCUCUUUUGGGGUCGGUUCACAGGUGGUGCAUGGCUGUCGUCAGCUCGUGUCGUGAGAUGUUGGGUUAAGUCCCGCAACGAGCGCAACCCUUGUUCACUGUUGCCAGCACGUUAUGGUGGGGACUCAGUGGAGACCGACGGGGUCAACUCGGAGGAAGGUGGGGAUGACGUCAAGUCAUCAUGCCCCUUAUGUCCAGGGCUUCACGCAUGCUACAAUGGCUGGUACAGAGAGUGGCGAGCCUGUGAGGGUGAGCGAAUCUCGGAAAGCCGGUCUCAGUUCGGAUUGGGGUCUGCAACUCGACCUCAUGAAGUCGGAGUCGCUAGUAAUCGUAGAUCAGCAACGCUGCGGUGAAUACGUUCCCGGGACU